rnacentral:rRNA from 1 species
UACGAAGGGGGCUAGCGUUGCUCGGAAUCACUGGGCGUAAAGGGUGCGUAGGCGGGUUUUUAAGUCAGGGGUGAAAUCCUGGAGCUCAACUCCAGAACUGCCUUUGAUACUGAAGAUCUUGAGUCCGGGAGAGGUGAGUGGAACUGCGAGUGUAGAGGUGAAAUUCGUAGAUAUUCGCAAGAACACCAGUGGCGAAGGCGGCUCAUUGGCCCGGUACUGACGCUGAGGUGCGAAAAGCGUGGGGAGCAAACAGGG